UGUAAAGGAAAAGAUUCCAAAAGAGAAUAGAUCAGAUUCUGGAAAGGGUGAUGGAAUAUUAGUGGGAGACAAGAAAGCAAAGUCAGUGGGAAAAAAAGGAUUUUCCAAUGGAAAGGAAGGGUGGCAAUAACAGGGAAAUAAGGAAUGACAAUGGUAGCGUGUCAAAGAAGGAAGUAGAUAUUGACACAUUGGCUUGUGAGGAGCUUGUUUCGAAAACAUUGAAGCUUCCUCUUUUAUCUAAUUCAUAUUCUGCUGUUGACAAGGUAAAAAAUAAGGGCAUAGCAAGAAAUAAAGGUGUCCAUGAUGUAGCUAUGGAGGAGUCAGUGGAGCCAAUAUGCACCCAAAAGAUCGGCUGGGAGAAUCCAAGGGCUGGUUCUGCUCAAAAGGUUUUGGAGGAACGAAAGACGAGUGGUCUGGAGGAUAAUUCAGGCUAUGUGAGAAAAGAUGGGUACAAUAAAGCAGAAAAAACUUAUGAUUCUGUCAAAGCCGAGUCUAAUACUCUAAAAGGUAGUGAAGCGCUUAAUGGUGAACCAGUAGAUCCUACCGGGCAGAAGAUCAGCCAGAGAGGUACAUUGCCUGAGCAAGAAAAUAUGAAGUUGACCACUGCAAAGGAGCAUACCACUUCUGGUGGAAAAAGAAAAUCGAAAGGCAGUCAGGGCCAUGGCAGUCUAGCUGCAGAGGUACCAAAAGAAAGCUUGAGGGUUGGUUCUUCCUCAAUGCUGAAAAAUAAGCAGACCGCACAUGUGGCAAAUUAUACAAACAAAAGGGACUCGGGAGACCAAAAAUUAGAAAGGCCUUUUCGAAAAGAUGAAGAUAGGUAUAGAGAUUUUUUUGGAGAUAUGGGAGAAUCAAAACAGGAAGAGAACCAAACAUGUUCAUUAGAAAUUCAUUCUGAAGAUUGGCUGAAGGAAGCAGAUAAGAUUGAAAAAGAUAUAUCAGCCAUUAAAAGUGCACAUAAUGAUAGACUAACUGAUAAGAGAACUGAGGAUUUAUCCUCAACUGAAUCACACCCUAGAGCAACUGUGGAUGGUGCUCCUAACUCUGCCAAUGCGAAUGUUGAUGGAACUUCCCUUGCAACUGCAGCUACUGUAUUGGUAACAGACAAUUGGGUUCAUUGUGAUAAGUGCAAGAAGUGGCGUCUUCUUCCAGUAAGCAUAAAUCCUGCUGACUUACCCAAGAAGUGGUCAUGCAGCAUGCUUAACUGGCUGCCUGCUAUGAAUCGCUGCAGUGUUGAUGAGGACGAAACUACAAGAGCUGUUUUUGCAUUGUAUCAAGUUCCUGCUGUAGAGAGUCAAACUAAUCUGCAAGGUAAUCCUGGCUGUAUUAUAUCCAGAUUAUCCUCAGCUGAUGCCCUGCAACCUGACCAAAACGAACAAAUUUUCGGUUCACAUGCCAUUCCCCCUUCUGGAAGGAAGAAACAUGGUUUAAAAGAAAUAUCAAAUGCAAUGGAUAAAGAUGGGCCAACUACUAUUAAGAAGAACAUGCAGUCAUCAGUUCAAUCAGGAAGCCUAACUGAUGUGACUCGCUCUCCUGUGGUAAGUGAACCUGCUUUACAGCACCCAAGCAGAUGUGAUUUGCCUGUUGAGAAACACAAAAAUAAGCAGAAAGAGAAGCAUAAAGUGUUGGAACACGGUUCUGAUGGAGAUGAUGUCAAAAUUUCAAAAAUGAAAGGCAAAAGGAUCACUGAUCAAGAUUCUUUAAGCGCCUCCAAGAAAAUUAAGGCUGAAAGUUUGCAUCUUGCUGAUGAAGAUUGGAUGUUUGAGCAUGCUGGUAAGGGGGGUCCUAGCACAAGUAAUGGUUUGCGUUUCACAUCAGUAGGAAAGGAUCAGCCUAAACACAGUGAAUGCUCUUCUUAUAUGGAUUCAAAGUUGGAUAAUGACAGACAACAGGUCUCUGCUAAAAGACCAAAGGACAAAGUACAGGUUUUAACUGAUGGAUCAUUGGAUCUGGCGAAUUUUAAUGGUGGGGAAGUUUCAAGAAAGAGGAAAGUUGAUGAAUGUAUUGAUAGUCAAUUAUAUACAGGUUCCCUCCAAGGUAUGGGCAAUCACCUCCAGGAUAGCAGAGUGUUUGUGAAGGAAGAGUUCAGCGAAAAUGACUACAUGAGAGAAAAGAAGGCCAGGGAAUCUAAGUCUGGGGGGAAGGAAUCCUCUGCAAGUAAAAGCAGUAGCAAACCGGAGAAAAAAAGUAGACAUUCAAAGAAUCAUCGAAUUGGGCAAGAUCAAGGUUGCACCCUGUCUCAACAUAGCUUGGAUGGUACGGAUUCAUUUAAAAGGGAUUUUGGAUCUGCCCAACCUUCUUUGGCAGCUACCUCAAGCUCAUCUAAGCUUUCUGGUUCACAUGAAUCAAAACCUGGCUUCCAUGAAACAAAAGGCUCACCGGUAGAAUCAGUUUCUUCAUCUCCAAUGAGAAUUGCUAAUCCAGAUAAACUUUCAUCGGCAAGGGGGAAUAUUGCAGGAAAAGAUGAGUCUUGUGAUGCUGGGCUUUUUGUUGCAGGUAAUCCAAGGAGAUGCUCAGAUGGUGAAGAUAAUGGUGGGAGUGACAGGUCAGGAAAAGUACGGAAGGAAAAAACUUCUGUUGCAGCUCAAGAUGGGUCAAUACUUGAUGUUCAGGAUAAGGAUGGUGGUCAAUUAGGUGGCAGUAGAGCUAGGCCACCAAUUGAGUCUUCUCCUGAUAUCAGGAAAGGCCAAUUUAUGAAUGGCAGUGUUGAUUAUUUAGGCCAAGAGGCUCAAUAUGCUGGUAAAUCAACAACAAUGGAUGAAAAGCUUGAUGAAGAAAAUCAGAAUGACAAACAUGGCAAUACCAAUGUCACUCAGCCAAGAAAGUUAGGCAAGGGAUCCUCAUGGUCUAAGGAUUGGAGUCGUAAUUUGAAAUCUGAUUCUGUUGAUGAAUGGCAAGACUGUGUGCCGUCAUACGAGGUAAAACCUAGGGAUGGUAGAAAUAAAUUUCAGGAGAGGCUCAGAGUCAACUCUGAUGAAGGUGAGAAUAGACUUCUUGAUAAUAAAGAAUCAGUGGGAAAAUUGUCCGGUGAGAGCAGUAAAAGAGAAAGUCAAUCAAAUAUUGGUUGUCCAGAUGCUAAACCAGAUGCCACUGGAGGUCAAGAUGUAAUGUCUACUGUGAAGCAGAAUAUUGUGCAGGAUGGCUAUGGUGAAAAAUAUACAAAGAGAUUCCACUCUGACAAAUCUGAUCAUGCAGAAGUUGCCUCUGGGAGAGGGAACUCUCUAUCAUUACCACACUCUGGAGAAACUCAAAAAGAGUUGCUGACUCGUUGCCCCCGCCCAGUUUCUGGGUUUCAAAAGGGAAAUGGAGCUGAUGGAUCUCAAGGUGAUGAUGCAUUGAAGGUACAAAAACAAAUAAAAAAGGCUGAUCAUCAAAAUGGGACUCAGCACAGUAGUUCAAGACAUACUGCAUCAGGUGGACAAAGAAUCAGGGAUGUUAAUGCCCGGAGUCCAAUGAGAAAGGAUUCCUCAAGUCAGGCAGCUACCAAUGCUUUGAAGGAGGCUAAACAUUUAAAGCAUCUGGCUGAUCGUGUCAAGAACUCUGGAUCAAAUGUGGAGAGCACUGCACUUUACUUCCAGGCAGCAUUGAAGUUUCUUCAUAGUGCUUCUCUACUAGAAUCUUGCAACAAUGAGAGUACCAAGCAUGGAGAGAUGAUUCAGUCUGUGCAAAUGUAUAGUAGCACUGCAAAACUCUGCGAAUUUUGUGCCCAUGAAUAUGAGAGAUUAAAGGACAUGGCUGCUGCUUCUUUGGCCUACAAGUGUACGGAGGUGGCAUAUAUGAGAGUCAUCUAUACCUCUCAUGCCAAUGCAAGUAGAGAUCGACAUGAACUGCAGACUGCUUUACAAAUGGUUCCUCCCGGUGAGUCUCCUCCUUCUUCUGCCUCGGAUGUUGAUAAUUUAAACCACCCAACAACAGCAGACAAGGUUGCUCUUUCAAAAGGUGUUAGCUCUUCCCAGGUUGCUGGAAAUCAUGUUAUUUCCACUCGAAACCGUCCUAACUUUGUGCGGUUGCUCAAUUUUGCACAGGAUGUGAAUUACGCAAUGGAAGCUUCAAGGAAAUCACGAAGUGCUUUCGCAAAUGCUAAUUUAAGUUUGGGAGGGGCUGAAGGUGGGGAGGUUAUAUAUUCUGUGAAAAAGGCUCUUGAUUUUAAUUUCCAAGAUGUAGAGGGACUGCUACGUUUGGUACGUGAGGCAAUGGAAGCCAUUAGCCAUUAAGAAAAAAAAUCUGGUUGGUGAGGAUGAUUUUAUACUACAAGGAAAUUUUCUUUUGAUGUUUUAUCCUUGGGUAUGAAGUCAUAGAGGAGAAAAAGAAAAGGGGAUGGCCGGGUUUCCCUGCUGCAAUCCAUAACACUUACAUUGAAAAACUCGCGAGUGCCCACUUUCGAGCAUUCAUUGUACAUGUGUGCAAUACAAGAUAAAUCUGGGAUUUUCAUUAUAUUCUUUCACAAGCUUCAACUGCAUUCUGACAUGGAACAAGCUCUGUUAAUUUCCUUCUCAAGAUGGUAUUGAGGACAUGUGAUUCAUAGGGUUUAUAUUUGAAAUUGUUUAAGUUGUACAAAUAGGUGAUUAUGCUCCAAAAGAAUCGUGGUUGAAGAAAUAAUUUUGCAUAAAAGAUAGAGAAGCCAACUAUAGAUUGAGGGACAGAUUGGUAAAAUUCAAAUAGUAGAGUUUGCCAUUGUUUUGGCAUUACCGUUCCUCGUAGGGAGUUUUAGUUCACCUAACUAAUUAAUUUGUUAAUACUAUUUUACUUAGAGACCUCUUUAGGAAAAUACCGGGAUAUGCAGCAGCAUGUGCUUGCUCUUGUGCCACGGGACCUGCUGUUUUCUCAGUUCAAGCACUAUGAAACAGAGCAGUGCAGUUGACAGUCUCAGGAUUUACUUUCAGGGAGGAUAAUUGGUAAUGCUAAGGAGCAUAAAGGCUUGUACUAUCUUGAGGAUCCUCAACAAGUCAGCUGCUGUAGUACCUAUCAUUGUAUAUACUUAGGAUUAAUCAAGAUGAGCUAAAAGAAUAUAGUAAAGUAAUAUUUGGUGCAAAAUUACAGUGGUAGAGAUCGAAACAAGGUUGCUUUUUACCCUCUAAAGUAAACAUUUAUGUACCAUAAACUUAUCUUUGUAUGGUUCCAAUUUGGAAUGUGGCAAGUGCUUUUGUUUGUGGGAGAGAUCAUUCUAUUAUCUUCAAGUUGGCCAACUUGAUGCUGAUAGUUGGACGAAGGAGGGGCAAACAGUUUUAGUAAUCCACAUUAGUGGACUAAGAAGCCUUUGCAAGUAAUUGCUAUUGGAGUCUAUAAAAUAUGCAGACAAUUGGCCUUUCUUUUAGGAGGCCUGACACUGGCUGCAAGUGCUACCUCAACCGAGUUUGAGCUGUAGCUGACCUACAAGCACCAUGAGUAUAGGGUUGACAAACCAGUAAUCCAAAUUUAAGAGGCAUGUCAUGUUCCCAAUGGGCUUGUCAAUAUAUUACUGGAAAGCUGAGCCUUUUUCUACGGGGCACUGUAUGAUGGUUGACUCAAUUAUAUACAUUAAGUAAAAUUUGAAAACACGAGAUCUUUCAAUGAUUGAAAAUGUGACUCGCCUGUGAACAAUCAACUUUGGCAUUAGUGAGGGUUGACGCAUCAGUUUGUUGAAUUUAGCAGUUCAUGCUUGUAAUUUUACGGCUCUGGAUCUAUGUUUC